GCAGAUUCACAGAACAUUGAUACGUCUCGUGGUUUCUCGUCUAGCAGAUUUGACCACGCCUUUUAUUUACAUCUCAUGGCGCUGUGUGAAUGAACACCUUGGAGAGGAGGACCACUGAAAAUCCCCUUUGCAAUGAGAGUGACAAACGCCAUUAAUGGAUGAAUAAACCAAUAAAUGCAGUAUUAAUCAUAUGAAUCCGUGUCACCGCUCCGAUUAUUACGGUGGUAAUGGCAGCUGUGAGUCUGACGGAUCCGCUUUGCAAACCUUGCUCUUACAGCCCACGUUUUAAAGUUGAGGUGUGCUUGAGGAAGCCCUUGAUGCCCAUCCACCUGAGCAGUGAGCAGGUGGCACUGGAGAUGCUGUGUCUCUGCAGCCAGUUGGACUUACUGAUCAGAGCUCAGGUCCAUCAGGGGCAGCUCAAACAGGACACAAGUCCUGAAGAGACUGAGUGUUUUCAAAAACAAGGUACGCUUAGGACUAAAAUAAUAAUUUUUACUGGAAAUCAAAAUGGGUAAUUGUUAUCAAAUGUAUGUACAACCUCUGAAUUUGUGUGUAGGGGCAGAGAUAAUAUAUCGGAUGAACCAGUGCCUUGAACAUCUCAAUGAACCGGUGCUUCAGUUUGAGGAGUGUUUGGAUGUUGUAGGAUUAUCUACUCUGUUCCCUCGAGUGGAAGUUUAUAUGAUACAUGGCAGCCCUGUUGACAUGUUGGAAAGACCACCUUCAGAUGCUUAUUUUCCUCAUAUUGGGAGGCUGAAUCAGCUGCUGGUUCUCAGUCAGCAGUUAGAUGAAGAUGUGAAGCAUCUGGGCAGUCAUAAGUACAUCGCACAUCAGCUAUCAGCAAUUUAUCAAGUCCUAAACUCUCUCAAAGAUAUUUUGCCAUUAUCCAUCAUAAGAAAGGAUAUUGAGGCUAAUUUCAAGCAGCUGAAGAUGUCUCUUUCGACAGAGGAAGGGUCCAAGCUGGAUCCUCAGUUGCCAGCACAUCACGUGAGCUGGGUGUCAGAAUUAACACAAAACGUGAUAUCGACGGUACUGUCACUCUCAGAAGAGCUCACCGAAGACCUCAAUCCAGUCAUGGAAUUUGUCUCUAACCUCUCGUAACAGCUAGAUCUACAGUGCCUGAAGUGGAUGGUGAGAAAUUGUCACGGAAUGAAGUGAUUCCCUUGAAAAAUGUUUUGUCUUUUUUUGAUUUAUUCAUCUGUAC
rnacentral:lncRNA from 1 species